UAUCCUAUGGGAUGGGAAAGGUGUGCUGUU
rnacentral:piRNA from 1 species